CACACGACUCUCGGCAACGGAUAUCUCGGCUCACGCAUCGAUGAAGAACGUAGCAAAAUGCGAUACUUGGUGUGAAUUGCAGAAUCCCGUGAACCAUCGAGUUUUUGAACGCAAGUUGCGCCCGAAGCCAUUCGGCCGAGGGCACGUCUGCCUGGGCGUCACGC
rnacentral:rRNA from 1 species